AGAGGGAGGUUAAUCGACCCGAACCCAAUCGAGUCGGCUCUGGGUCGGGCCAAAUGUCUACCUAAGCCUAGCCUGAUAGCCAAACAGGCUCUAUUUUUUUGGCUAGAGCCCGGCCUAAAAGGUUUGGGAUCGAAUCCGAAGCCCGACCCAAGGCUUCGGGAUGGCCCGAUGGGCCUCCUGGCAGUCCGACCCACUUCCAGCCCCAUCUGCGAGACUACCUUCACAGUGCUGCUUUUGAUGAAUUUGGAAGAUGAGGGAGAG
rnacentral:lncRNA from 1 species